GAAGGUUUCUGAACAAUCCUGUUUCUUCCAAAAUUGUACAAGGGCAAACUGUAAAGCUGUCUGUGCUUAAUAUUAUGAAUGCCAGUGGAGCCUAAAGAAUUUUCUGUUACCUUCAAGGGGAGUAACUGUUGAACUCAAACUGAGAGGGAGGCCAAGCCAGAGAGAUGCAGAGACAAAACCUCAUUUAAGGAAUGACUGACAAAGAAACUGAAGGAAAGUUGGGAACUUCUGUCAAAAGAUUCCUCUGUGAAAUAGGACCUUACCUGCUUACUGAGAAGGGACCUAGAUGAAAACCCAGUCUAGAUCUGCUGAAAGAAGUCAUUCUGCACUGCUAUACAGGUAUUUUGCCAGACAGAUCUUCUUGCAAUACCGUCAAGGCUACAGCUACCCAUGCCACAGCCCCCUGCAUUUCAGCCUCUGGGGAAAGCUGCAAAGCUCAGAGAACUCCCUGAAUGGACAUCAGCAGAGAGGAGCAGAAGGACAAAACACUUCACAUUUAGCUGCUGGUAACCCAGACUGAAGAGUAAUAUUUUCACUUAUGGAAAGGAAGAGGAAAGUGAGCACUACUUUCUGGGCAGACAUACAACUAACAAGCCAAAACCCUCUGCAAACACUUUUUCUUUUUUUUUAAAUUUUUUAAGAAAUCUCCUUUUGUUGAAGUAAACUAAAAAAAAAAUAUAAGUGAUGUUGGAAACUGGAGGAGGGAGGGAGGUCUGUUCAUCAUAAUUUUUACCCCAAUUCUGGAGGCAAAUAUUUUCCAAACUUUGUUAUUAAACUAAAUGGAUUUCUAUUUUCCUAAUAGCUAGCUAUGCUCAGUCAGAUUUCUGACCACAUGCCAAACAUACCUCAUGUACUGACAUGGGGUAUCACUAGAGAAAGAGUUGCAUGGCUCACCAGAACCAGCCCCUCCUGCUCCCACCAGGCCUCCCAGAAAUCCUGUCCCACCCAGUCAGGGUGCUGCUCUCCAUCCUCCCUGCUCAGCCCACUCUGCUCAUUCCUGCCUCCAGGAGGACCUGAUCGUUCUCUCACUCUCCCCACCCUCAUGUGGCCCAGUCCCCACAUUCCUUAAUUCUGCUGAUCCUUCAUAGGCAUUUACUUGUGUUUCCCAGAUUUCACUCCUCUGUACUAGUAGAGAAAGUGUUCUUACACACUUUUCCCCUUUUCAUUUCUAAGGGAAUAUCAGUGGUUAGAUGGAAGCCAGAAAUGUGAUUUAUAUGGUUAUUGUACCUGACUUUUCUUUAUAUACCACUACCAUUUCACUGUUUCAUAUAGUGAUAAAUUUUUCAUUCCACUGAAAAUUGUGAUGAUUGUUUUAUUUUAUUUUACUUUAUUUUGUUUUAUUUUAUUUUAUCAACAUAUAUGUGACGUCAAUUUUUAUGUCUGAUCAUUAGCUGUCAGAAUUUUUCAUUUGAGAAAUAUACUUCAUUUUUAAAAUCAUAUAAAAGAAUUAACAAUGAGGGGAACACUGAGAAGAACCUAUACAACAGUUCGGGCUCAAAAUAAAUAAGGCGGGUUACUAUGGUUUUCCACAAAUAACAUUUUGUGUAGUAUCCACUGGAGCAUGAGCUGAAAAGAUGCCUUCCCUCAAAGUAGCUGCUAUGCUUUCCUCUCAGUGAAUGGAGCAAAGAUCACCAGCUGCCAGAAUCAAGCUACUACACAGUAGAAAGUAAAUGCUUCAGCACAAAGACGUUACUUAUUUCGUUUAUAACCAGGCAUGUAGAAGUAAAGAUCGUCAGGAGUAGUUACCACGGAUUCACCAAGGAGGAAGCAUGCUUGACCAAUCCAAGAGCUUCCAUGAUGACUUGGAAGGAUGGGUCAGUGAGGGGAGAGCAGUGGAUGUUGUCUACCUUGACUUCAGCAAGGCUUUUGACUCUGUGUUACACAACAUCCUUGCAGACAAACUUAGGAAGUGUGGGUUAGAUGAACAGGCAGUGAAGAAGAUCAAGAACUGCCUGAAUGACAGAGCUCAGGGGAUUGAGAUCAAUGGAAUAGAAUGCAGUUGGAGGCCUGCAGCCCAUGGCGUUCCCCAGGGAUCUGUACUGGGUCCAGUUUUAUUCAACUUGUUUAGCAAUGACCUGGAUGAAGGGAUAGAGUGAGACUGGGGAGAGGGCUGAUCCCCCUGAAUGCCCUGCUGCCAUUCAGUGGGACCUUGAUAGGCUGGAGAAUUGGGCACAGGGAAACUCAAUGAGGUUUGACAAGGGCAAGUGUAGGGUCUCCCAUCUGGGGAGGAAUAACCCCGAGUACAGCUGGGGGCUGACCUGCUGGAGAGCAGCUCUGCUGAGAGGGACCUGGGGGUCUCGGUGGAUGACAAUCUCCUCAUCAGCCAGCAGCAGAAGGGCCAAUGAUAUCCUGGGUGCAUGAAGAGGAGUGUGGCCAGCAGGUCAAGGAAGGUGAUCCUGCCCCUCAGCCCUGGUGAGACCACACCUGGAGUGCUGUGUCCCAGUGUGGGCUCCUGAGUACACGACAAGGAGCUGCUGGAGAGGUCCAGCGAAAGCCACAAAGAUCAUGGAGGAGUCUGGAGUAUCUCUCUUAUGUGGAGAGCUUCCGGGAGCUGGGCUUGCUUAGUCUGUAGAAAACUGAGAAGGCAUCUCCUUAAUGCAUAUAGUAUCUCAAAAGCAGGUGCCAAGACAAUAGUGCCAUCGACAGGACAAAGAACAAAGGUCAUAAACUAAAACACAAGAGGUUAUGGCUCAACACAAACAACUUCUUUACACUGAGGGUGGCAGAGCACUGGAAAAGGCUGACCAGGGAUGUCAUGAAGUGUCCCUCUCUGGACACAUUCCAAAUCCACCUGGAUAUGUUCCUGUGUGACCUGCUCCAGGUGACCCUGCCUUGGCAGGGGAUUGGACUGGGUGAA